GGUAUAUAGCUCAGUUGGUAGAGUGCUUGCCUUGCAUGCACAAGGCCUUGGUUUCAAUCCCCAGGACCA
rnacentral:tRNA from 1 species